rnacentral:tRNA from 1 species
GCCCCAGUGGCUCAGCCUGGUAGAGCAUUGCCUUGGUAAGGCAAAGAUCGGGAGUUCAAAUCUCCUCUGGGGCU